rnacentral:lncRNA from 1 species
ACAGCUCCCUGGUGAGCCCUGCAAACACUGAAAUGGAAAAGCUGGCUCCUGGGACUGUCUGUUCCUAGCUUCUCUUUGGCCCAAUAUGAAUGAGUUGGUGGUUCCCCAAAGAAACUUAAGGACGUCUGCUACCACCUUCUCACUUUACAGAUGAGGCACCUCACUGGCUCAGCGAGGCAGAAACUCCUCUCCAGACUGGUACAAUCAUGAACGCAAGACUCCCUCAUCCCACAGAUAGCAGUGGGAGGGCCAUCCGCCUGGGUGGAGCAGGGCUCCAGCAUUUCUCCUCCUGACCCCAGCUCCCUAUCACUGAAGCUAAGUUCUAGAUUCACCUUGAGCCAACAUCCAUUGCCAACCCUCCUUUUCUUGAAGAAGACCAACCCCAAGCCAACACCCUCACCAGGCCUCCUCUACCCUGCAUGUGGGUCACCGCCACAGCACAGCCACUGACUGGUGCAGGUCCAUGACCAGGAACCGAACCUGCGCUGCUGUAGUGGAGCACACCAAACUCAACCACUAGGCCACAGGGCAGGCCCCUGUAUUUUCAGUUUCUUGAUGAUGUCUUUUGAAGAGCAAAAGGUUUUAAUUUUGAU